GAGAAUAACUUUGCUCUGGAAAGAAUUAUAAAAGUUCAAGUAUAUCUUGAACUUUUUAUAUUUUAUAAUUUUAUAUUUUUUAUAUUUCAUUUUGUGUCUAUCCUUGAUGCAUUGGGCAAUUAAAUUCCACUAAGUAUCUCCUCCCAAUAUUAAUUGUGAUAGUAUAAUUCAUAAAUUAAUUUUUAUUUUUAAUAUUUAUAAACACAUCAGUUCUACUUAUCUUCUUGUCUCUGCAGGUAUUAUCACUAAUUUCAUUAGUAUUCUUUUAUAUUCUAACAUUGGUUUAAAAUAUUAUAAUUAUACAUUUUCAUGUUUAAUGGUUCAGACAUCACUCUGAAGGAAUUCUCCCUUAAUAGCCAUUUUCCUUUGGAGUUUUCUGUUUUAUUUUGUAGGUAAUUUUGACAUGAUUUAAUCUUCCUUUAAAUCAAAGAUCUGCCAGUCCUAUGGGGGUAGUUACAGCCUAUGGCGACAGGAAAUGGAACACACAUAGAAGCUCAGGUGUUUCUCUAGUGGCAGCUGCCAGCCAAAAAACGUUGAUUUUGUUUUGCUUUCUGGUAGUGUCUUGUGGUCCAUGGCAGAGUUCUUGAGGCAGUUUCAUGAUCCUUUAGGGCAACCCAUAAAAUUAACUGAAAAUUGGACAAACCAAAGAUUAACAGGAAAGCUUCUGAGAAAUCUGUACCUCGAAUAAUAGAUGAUGAUAGCAUGGAGGAGCGGAAAACAGGAAGCACAGAAGGACAAGGCACAUUUUGAAGUAUGAAGUGGUGCUGGAGAUACAGCUCGAUGGUUAAGAGCUCCCAUUCUUCGUGCAUUGGAACUGGGUUCACUGUCCCAGCAUUCACCUAGAGGCUUAUCACAUUUUUGUGACUCUAGUUCCAGGGGAUCUAAUGUCUUCUGACUUCCAAGGGCAAAAUGCAUGCACAGUGUACACCUACAUAUGUGCAGGUACAUGCCAAAUCCAGAAGAGGGCGUCAGAUCCCCUGGAGCUGGAGUUACAGGCAGUUAUGAGGCAACUGGCAACUGAAUGUAGGGCUUCUGCAGGAGAGGAAGGCAGUGUUAAACUGCUGAAGUCCUGGGAGCUGGGGGUGUGGCUCAGUAGGAAUGCUGGCUUCUGUGAAAGAAGCAGUGAGCAAGAUCCCCAGCACUGCACAACAACGGGAAGACUCCCCACAGACCAUGAAGGUUGACAAGUACUGACCAGAGAUUUGCAAGAUACACGGGGAUUGUGUCCAGUUAACAAAGUUGGUAAGAUCAUUAUGCCAUGUUUUUUGAGUUGUUCCCUGGAGAGCAGAGAGAUAAACUGGCUAUGGAUCACAGCACUCAGUACAUUCAGAAUAUUUUCUCAUAAAUCA
rnacentral:lncRNA from 1 species